rnacentral:rRNA from 1 species
GAGAGAGACAUGCGCGCAUAUCAAUAAGCGGAGGAAAAGAAACUAACUAGGAUUCCCUCAGUAACGGCGAGUGAAGCGGGAAGAGCUCAAAUUUGAAAUCUUCAAGGUUCUACCUUGACGAAUUGUAGUUUAAAGAAGUGUUUUCUGUUGGAGUUUUGGUAAAAGUUCUUUGGAAUAGGACAUCAUAGAGGGUGAGAAUCCCGUAUUUGACCAUUACUUUCCAACUUUGUGAUACACUUUCAAAGAGUCGGAUUGUUUGGGAAUGCAGUCCAAAAUGGGUGGUAAAUUUCAUCUAAAGCUAAAUAUUGGCGAGAGACCGAUAGCGAACAAGUACCGUGAGGGAAAGAUGAAAAGAACUUUGAAAAGAGAGUUAAACAGUACGUGAAAUUGUCAAAAGGGAAGCGUUUGACACCAGUGUUGUUUUCUCGAAAAUCAAUUAAAAAAGGCAGGAUUUUGUGUUGUAUUGACUUUAUCAGCUUUCUGCACUCUUUUCUUGUCUUUUUUAAUGCACUUUUCGUUUAACAAGUCAACAUCAAUUUCUUUUGUUGUAAAAGGGUCAUUGGAAGGUGGCUUUCUUUUCGGAGAAAGUGUUUAUAGCCUUUGGCCUCUGCAAUCGGAGAGAUUGAGGUCUGCAGCGUAGAUCCUUCGGGGUUAGAUACAUUUGUGCUAAGUUAUAGCCUUUCAUAGACAACUUGUUGACUAUGAUCAGUCAUGUAGCUUACUCGCUUAUGCUAUUUUACCUACGCUUAGGAUGUUGAUGUGAUACUGCGAGCA